rnacentral:lncRNA from 1 species
CAGGGGAUUGCAGUGGCAAAGCUAGGCUAGGUCUUGGAGGCUGGUGUAAGGCGAUGUGGGUGAAGGCAGGAGGCUGAUGGAAAGACUGGGGGGAAGAAAAGCCGAAAUGGAUUCACGGUGCCUUGGAUGAAGGACGAGAGGGGAACUGCAAGCUCCUUCAACUGGUUCUGUCCGGUGAGAAGUGAUCAAGCUUGGGCUGACAAGAGGCUCAGGGAGCCCUCACGUUCUUUCGCUUUUUUACCUGCCAAUCAAACUGCUACAAGACAACACCCUGAUCUGGCAUGGACAUAGUCUUGCUGUGAUGCCCAGGCUGCUGGAGUGCAAUGGUGUGAUCUCUGCUCACUGCAACCUUUGAUUCCUGGGUUCAAGAGAUUCUCCUGCCUCAGCCUCCGAGUAGCUGGGACUACAGGCAUGUGUCACCACACCCGGCUAAUUUUUGUAUUUUUAGCAGAGACAGGGUUUCACCAUAUUGGCCAGACUGGUCCUGAACUCCUGACCUCAAGUGAUCUGCCUGCCUCGGGCUCCCAAAGUGCUGGGAUCACAGGCGUGAGCCACCGCACCUGGCUUCUUACUCCUUUUAACAACUUGAUGAGUCUCAAUACCUUCACAGAGGUGAAGAAGCAGCAACCAAAUGAAUUAGACAGCAACAUGAUUCCUAGAGAAUGGCAAGACCAAUUCUUCAACUACUUCUUCAGCAUUUCUGAAACAUAUGGAAGAUGGCCCAUUGUGCUCUCUUAAUUCUUUGAUAAUCUGGACAUUGACUUUUCCAUUAUAU